rnacentral:rRNA from 1 species
CAAGUCGAACGGCAGCACGGGGCAACCUGGUGGCGAGUGGCGAACGGGUGAGUAAUACAUCGGAACGUGCCCAGUCGUGGGGGAUAACUACGCGAAAGCGUAGCUAAUACCGCAUACGAUCUACGGAUGAAAGCGGGGGAUCGCAAGACCUCGCGCGAUUGGAGCGGCCGAUGGCAGAUUAGGUAGUUGGUGGGGUAAAGGCUCACCAAGCCGACGAUCUGUAGCUGGUCUGAGAGGACGACCAGCCACACUGGGACUGAGACACGGCCCAGACUCCUACGGGAGGCAGCAGUGGGGAAUAUUGCGCAAUGGGCGGAAGCCUGACGCAGCGACGCCGCGUGGGGGAUGACGGCCUUCGGGUUGUAAACCUCUUUCGGCCCCGACGAAGCGUGAGUGACGGUAGGGGCAGAAGAAGCACCGGCCAACUACGUGCCAGCAGCCGCGGUAACACGUAGGGUGCGAGCGUUGUCCGGAAUUAUUGGGCGUAAAGAGCUCGUAGGCGGUGUGUCGCGUCGGCCGUGAAAACCUGCAGCUUAACUGUGGGCUUGCGGUCGAUACGGGCAUCACUGGAGUUCGGCAGGGGAGACUGGAAUUCCUGGUGUAGCGGUGAAAUGCGCAGAUAUCAGGAGGAACACCGGUGGCGAAGGCGGGUCUCUGGGCCGAUACUGACGCUGAGGAGCGAAAGCGUGGGGGGCGAACAGGAUUAGAUACCCUGGUAGUCCACGCCGUAAACGGUGGGCGCUAGGUGUGGGGGCCAUUCCACGGUCUCUGUGCCGUAGCUAACGCAUUAAGCGCCCCGCCU